GCACUGCUGAGGAGUCCCACAACAGAACAAAACGACCGUCUAGUGC
rnacentral:hammerhead_ribozyme from 1 species